GUGAGGGCAGGAGGAUUGGGGUGU
rnacentral:miRNA from 1 species